AGAGCAGAAGAUGGAAUUAGACUGAUGACACACUGUCCAGCUACUCAGCGAAGACCUGGGUGAAUUAGCAUGGCACUUCGCAGCUGUCUUUAGCCAGUCAGGAGAAAGAAGUGGAGGGGCCACGUGUAUGUCUCCCAGUGGGCGGUACACCAGGUGUUUUCAAGGACAUUCUGAGCAUGUGAGACCUGAGGACUGCAAACAGCUAUAAGAGGCUCCAAAUUAAUCAUAUCUUUCCCUUUGAGAAUCUGGCCAAGCUCCAGCUAAUCUACUUGGAUGGGUUGCCAGCUAUCUGGAGAAAAAGAUCUUCCUCAGAAGAAUAGGCUUGUUGUUUUACAGUGUUAGUGAUCCAUUCCCUUUGACGAUCCCUAGGUGGAGAUGGGGCAUGAGGAUCCUCCAGGGGAAAAGCUCACUACCACUGGGCAACAACCCUAGGUCAGGAGGUUCUGUCAAGAUACUUUCCUGGUCCCAGAUAGGAAGAUAAAGUCUCAAAAACAACCACCACACGUCAAGCUCUUCAUUGUUCCUAUCUGCCAAAUCAUUAUACUUCCUACAAGCAGUGCAGAGAGCUGAGUCUUCAGCAGGUCCAAGAAAUUUGAACACACUGAAGGAAGUCAGCCUUCCCACCUGAAGAUCAACAUGCCUGGCACUCUAGCACUUGAGGAUAGCUGAAUGAAUGUGUCUUACCCAUUUCCAUGUUUCUCUUGCUAAUUUCUUUCGUGUGUGCCUUUGCCUCAUUUUCUCUUUUUGUUCACAAGAGUGGUCUGUGUCUUGUCUUAGACAUAUCUCUCAUUUUUCAUUUUGUUGCUAUUUCUCUUUGCUCUCCUAGAUGUGGCUCUUCUUUCACGCUUUAUUUCAUGUCUCCUUUUUGGGUCACAUGCUGUGUGCUUUUUGUCCUUUUCUUGUUCUGUCUACCUCUCCUUUCUCUGCCUACCUCUCUUUUCUCUUUGUGAACUGUGAUUAUUUGUUACCCCUUCCCCUUCUCGUUCGUUUUAAAUUUCACCUUUUUUCUGAGUCUGGCCUCCUUUCUGCUGUUUCUACUUUUUAUCUCACAUUUCUCAUUUCUGCAUUUCCUUUCUGCCUCUCUUGGGCUAUUCUCUCUCUCCUCCCCUGCGUGCCUCAGCAUCUCUUGCUGUUUGUGAUUUUCUAUUUCAGUAUUAAUCUCUGUUGGCUUGUAUUUGUUCUCUGCUUCUUCCCUUUCUACUCACCUUUGAGUAUUUCAGCCUCUUCAUGAAUCUAUCUCCCUCUCUUUGAUUUCAUGUAAUCUCUCCUUAAAUAUUUCUUUGCAUAUGUGGGCAAGUGUACGUGUGUGUGUGUCAUGUGUGGCAGAGGGGCUUCCUAACCCCUGCCUGAUAGGUGCAGAACGUCGGCUAUCAGAGCAAGCAUUGUGGAGCGGUUCCUUAUGCCAGGCUGCCAUGUGAGAUGAUCCAAGACCAAAACAAGGCCCUAGACUGCAGUAAAACCCAGAACUCAAGUAGGGCAGAAGGUGGAAGGCUCAUAUGGAUAGAAGGCCCAAAGUAUAAGACAGAUGGUUUGAGACUUGAGACCCGAGGACUAAGAUGGAAAGCCCAUGUUCCAAGAUAGAUAGAAGCCUCAGGCCUGAAACCAACAAAAGCCUCAAGAGCCAAGAAAACAGAGGGUGGCCUGAAUUGGACCGAAGGCCUGAGUUGGAUGGAAGUCUCAAGGCUUGAGUUAGAAGUCUUAAGACCUGGGACAGGACACAUGGAAGGCCUAAGAACUGAGACUUGUGACACAAGGCCAACGACCUAAGAUUAGCCCAGGGUUGUAGCUGGAAGACCUACAACCCAAGGAUGGAAGGCCCCUGUCACAAAGCCUACCUAGAUGGAUAGAGGACCCAAGCGAAAAAGGUAUCUCAAGACUAACGGCCGGAAUCUGGAGGCCCAUGACCCAGAACCCAGGAAGGAUAGAAGCUUGAAGACCUGGGGAAAUCCCAAGAUGAGAACCCUAAACCCUACCUCUUUUCUAUUGUUUACACUUCUUACUCUUAGAUAUUUCCAGUUCUCCUGUUUAUCUUUAAGCCUGAUUCUUUUGAGAUGUACUUUUUGAUGUUGCCGGUUACCUUUAGAUUGACAGUAUUAUGCCUGGGCCAGUCUUGAGCCAGCUUUAAAUCACAGCUUUUACCUAUUUGUUAGGCUAUAGUGUUUUGUAAACUUCUGUUUCUAUUCACAUCUUCUCCACUUGAGAGAGACACCAAAAUCCAGUCAGUAUCUAAUCUGGCUUUUGUUAACUUCCCUCAGGAGCAGACAUUCAUAUAGGUGAUACUGUAUUUCAGUCCUUUCUUUUGACCCCAGAAGCCCUAGACUGAGAAGAUAAAAUGGUCAGGUUGUUGGGGAAAAAAAAGUGCCAGGCUCUCUAGAGAAAAAUGUGAAGAGAUGCUCCAGGCCAAUGAGAAGAAUUAGACAAGAAAUACACAGAUGUGCCAGACUUCUGAGAAGCACCUGCCAGCAACAGCUUCCUUCUUUGAGCUUAGUUUCUGGCAUCACUACCACUACUGAUUAAACAAGAAUAAGAGAACAUUUUAUCAUCAUCUGCUUUAUUCACAUAAAUGAAGUUGUGAUGAAUAAAUCUGCUUUUAUGCAGACACAAGGAAUUAAGUGGCUUCGUCAUUGUCCUUCUACCUCAAAGAUAAUUUAUUCCAAAAGCUAAGAUAAAUGGAAGACUCUUGAACUUGUGAACUGAUGUGAAAUGCAGAAUCUCUUUUGAGUCUUUGCUGUUUGGAAGAUUGAAAAAUAUUGUUCAGCAUGGGUGACCACCAGAAAGUAAUCUUAAGCCAUCUAGAUGUCACAAUUGAAACAAACUGGGGAGUUGGUUGCUAUUGUAAAAUAAAAUAUACUGUUUUGAAAACUUUG
ensembl:lncRNA XIST X inactive specific transcript